CCCUUAGAUGUUCUGGGCCGCACGCGCGCUACACUGAUGCAUUCAACGAGCCUAUCCUUGACCGACAGGUCCGGGUAAUCUUUGAAUCUGCAUCGUGACGGGGAUAGAUUAUUGCAAUUAUUAAUCUUCAACGAGGAAUGCCUAGUAAGCGCAAGUCAUCAGCUUGCGUUGAUUACGUCCCUGCCCUUUGUACACACCGCCCGUCGCUACUACCGAUUGGAUGGCUUAGUGAGACCCUCGGACCGAUAGGCUGUCGCUGCAGCAAUGUGGCGACUGGCCCGUCUGGGAAGAAGGUCAAACUUGACUGUCUAGAGGAAGUAAAAGUCGUAACA
rnacentral:rRNA from 1 species